GACGAACGCUGGCGGCGUGCCUAACACAUGCAAGUCGAGCGAAUGAAGUUCCUUCGGGAAUGGAUUUAGCGGCGGACGGGUGAGUAACACGUGGGCAACCUGCCUCAUAGAGGGGAAUAGCCUUCCGAAAGGGAGAUUAAUACCGCAUAAGAUUGUAGUAUCGCAUGGUACAGCAAUUAAAGGAGCAAUCCGCUAUGAGAUGGGCCCGCGGCGCAUUAGCUAGUUGGUGAGGUAACGGCUCACCAAGGCGACGAUGCGUAGCCGACCUGAGAGGGUGAUCGGCCACAUUGGGACUGAGACACGGCCCAGACUCCUACGGGAGGCAGCAGUGGGGAAUAUUGCACAAUGGGGGAAACCCUGAUGCAGCAACGCCGCGUGAGUGAUGACGGCCUUCGGGUUGUAAAGCUCUGUCUUCAGGGACGAUAAUGACGGUACCCACAGAAGAAGCCCCGGCUAACUCCGUGCCAGCCGCCGCGGUAAAAC
rnacentral:rRNA from 1 species